rnacentral:lncRNA from 1 species
AUGAGUCGAGAAGAUUCAUCAAGUGGUACUAAAUAAAAUAUUCCUUCAUUUUAUCGAUGAAUAUAUUUUACUUCGGUACUAAUGUUGUCUCGUUUAUUGUGGUCAUAGGAUGGGUGACGAAAGUCAAGAUAGUAAUUCCUUGACCUAAGAGACGAUGGACUCUAGCGAGGAGUACACAGACAGUGAGAUGAUAAAAGAUUUGUUAGAUAGGAACGACGACUUAAAGGUUAGAGCUGAGCAAGCGGAGGCACAAAAUCGUACUCUCCAGAACCGAGCUACGAGAGAGGUUGGAGCAAAGGGAGAUACAGAUAGGACAGUUGAAGGUUGAGGUAGAAGCCAAAGACACCAGGAUAUAUACCUUGGAGCAGGCUUUAGACAUCGCCUUUAUACGAUUUGAUGCAGAGUGGAUGGAGCUGCCUUUCGGCAGAGAAAGAUAGGCGUUGAUGAGAAUUGAAUAAUUCAUCGUCAAACAAAAUAAGAGACAACGUAUAUAGAACUCUUGAUUGCUGUGUAUAUAUACUAUAUGCUAAUCAGGGUAACUUAUGUAUGUAGAUGUCUGGUGGAAAAGAUAUGUGGAAUAAGAAGGAUCGGAUCCAUACCCCCGAGCUAAUAUCAAAG